CAGACAGACAGACAGACACAGACAGACAGACAGAAAGAGAGAAACACAGACAGACAGACAGAGAAAGAGACAGAGAGACAGACAGAGAAAGAGAGACAGACAGAGAAAGAGAGACAGACAGACACUUCUACACUUCUUCAGUUAUCACCCCACCACGCCACCACCGACCCCUCGAGUCUACGCAGCCCAGUGUCCGUCUGUGUCUUGUCGUGGGUGUGACGUUCAGCAGCGGCAGGAACAGCAACGGGAAACUUGAUCUACGUGAUGGAGGGUUUUCGUGCCGCGGGGUUACGUGCCGCUAAUGUGAGGUUAGCACAGCACAGCACAGCGGAGGAGAGGCGUUGACGAUCCAAAGGCCUAACUACACAGCGGUAAUGAGCCUCGUCUACCUUGCACUUCACGGACAACGCUCACACCUCUGCCUCCGCCACCGCCGCAAGAUUGGGGAAGGACUCGCUGCCUUGCAUCGCGCACACGGUCUACUCUUAACGACCGCCACCGCCGCUGCCGCCGUUGAGGGAGACUGGCUGGAUGGUUAUCACCCCACCACGCCACCACCGACCCCUCGAGUCUACGCAGCCCAGUGUCCGUCUGUGUCUUGUCGUGGGUGUGACGUUCAGCAGCGGCAGGAACAGCAACGGGAAACUUGAUCUACGUGAUGGAGGGUUUUCGUGCCGCGGGGUUACGUGCCGCUAAUGUGAGGUUAGCACAGCACAGCACAGCGGAGGAGAGCCUUAGGAAGUGUGCGUGCCUGCAGCCUACCUGUUGAUCGUACUUUACACGUGUUGAGUCCCCAAAUUGUGACAAUGCCACGUGUAAGUGGUAAAAGAAAGACUCAGGUUGAAACAGCCCGCCAGAAAGCCUUGAAAAGGUGGAAAGAGAAGAAAGUGAGGAGCCUGAGACACGUGGUGGUAGUACUGGCGAGGCUUCCACCUCCGCCGCCACCACCCCUGCCACUCCCGACCCUCACGUGUCUGCUGCAAGCUACAGGCAUAGUCUCCUGCCACCAGAGGAGAGUGAAGUUCACCAAACUAGUGGGGAAGGACUCGCUGCCUUGCAUCGCGCACACGGUCUACUCUUAACGACCGCCACCGCCGCUGCCGCCG
rnacentral:lncRNA from 1 species